CGCGUAGGCGGCAAGAAAAGUCAGAUGUGAAAUUCCGGGGCUCAACCCCGGAGCUGCAUUUGAAACUUUCUAGCUAGAGGUUAGUAAGGGAAACGGAAUUCCACGUGUAGCGGUGAAAUGCGUAGAUAUGUGGAAGAACACCGGUGGUGAAGACGGUUUUCUGUGCUAAACCCUGACGCUGAGGCGCGAAAGCUAGGGGAGCAAACA
rnacentral:rRNA from 1 species